rnacentral:rRNA from 1 species
GACAGAGGGUGCAAACGUUGCUCGGAAUUACUGGGCGUAAAGCGCGUGUAGGUGGAUUGGUGUGUCAGAUGUGAAAGCCCUGGGCUCAACCCAGGAACAGCACCUGAAACUACCAGUCUUGAGUGGUGGAGAGGGAAGUGGAAUUCCUGGUGUAGAGGUGAAAUUCGUAGAUAUCAGGAGGAACACCAGUGGCGAAGGCGGCUUCCUGGACACUAACUGACGCUGAGACGCGAAAGCGUGGGGAGCAAACAGG